rnacentral:rRNA from 1 species
CACCGGCGGCUCGAGUGGUGGCCACUUUUAUUGGGUCUAAAGCGUCCGUAGCCGGCUUGGCAAGUCCCCUGGGAAAUCUGGCGGCUUAACCGUCAGGCGUCCAGAGGAUACUGCCAGGCUUGGGACCGGGAGAGGUGAGAGGUACCUCAGGGGUAGGGGUGAAAUCUUGUGAUCCCCGAGGGACCACCAGUGGCGAAGGCGUCUCACUAGAACGGGUCCGACGGUCAGGGACGAAAGCUGGGGGCACGAACCGG